GCCAGGAUAAGGGCAAAAGGUGGGGGUAGAGGUGAAAGAGCUUUUCUGGGGCCGGUGAUAAUCUGCUUGGGGCAGGGUUCCGGGCACGUGGGCGUGUUCCGUCUGUGAAAAUUCACUGAGCUGUAUACUUAGCACUUGUGCCUUUUUCUGUGCGGAGGUAUGUCACGGCAGUUUUUACAAAAGCAACGGAUGAUUUCACUGGGGAAAGAAUAUAGAACGAACCAGCCUAGUGGGGUUACCCAACUAGACAGCCUCGGUCCGAAUCCCACGGUUACCGCCUAUACCCUGCCUGACCCCAGGCUCCCGGGCACCGGUCCAGAGGCUUGACAACGAGCCACAUUUGGGACUGCCAGAAACUGCCACAAAAGAGUCCGCCCAGAGGGCCUGUGGGAAUCGCUGGGGAGGAGAGGCGCGAUUCAGUCAGGAGCCGCACCAGGCGCCACGCCAGGCCAGGCCGGAGGCCCCUGACGCUACCUGCUGGCUGGGGCAGGCCCUGGGCCCUCGCUUUUCCUCCAGCUCCCUGCUGGAACCUUCCCUCCCAUCGCGGGGCUCCUCCAAACACGGUCCACCGGGCCGGGGCUGCCUUCACAGGCCGGAGAGGGGAAGCAACAGAACUGAGAGCAGGAGCGUCCUACCUUCCAGAAUGGAGCCCGUGCACACCGCGGCACCCUCUCCCCGCCGAGUCUGUUCUCCCCUGAACACCCCUGGCGGACGAGGAACCCCCCCCCUUUACAGGCCUCCUCCAAAGUCCCCACAAUCAGGUGUCCACGGCAGGCUGCGACCCGCUCCCCCCCUCCCCCCACCACUUUCUGAGCAGCCGGGGGCCCCAGGCAAAGCACACCUUCCCUCUCAUCGAGUCCUCUGCUCCAGUGAGCUGAGCUCACCCUCUAAAGCCUGGGCCACAACAAAACCAACCCAAAGGACAUCCAUUUUUACCCCCCGUUAGAAGUGAAUCUAACUCAGCAACUCCCCCACGCCUCCCCCCCGGAGUAGCCCCACUGACUUUUAACUAGCUUCCUGCCUGUCUUCUUUGUCACUCCUUCACUAGCUCUUUUCCACACGCUCGCCGAAGAACAGAUGAAGAGUGUCGCGUGCCCCGAGCCACGGGUGGCAGACCGGCUAGCUCAACGCAAAACCAUUUCCUUGCAUGUCUUGGGCACACAAAUUUCCCAGCCUCCUUUGCACGCGUGUGGGGUCAUGUGGCAGCGCCGGCCAGACUAUGGAGGUGCCCAUCAAACUUGCCACGCUAUUCUCCAUGCUCUAUGGUUUUGGGUUUUUUGGUUUUUGGGUGUGUGUGUGUGUGUGUGUGUGUGUGUGUGUGUGUGUGUGUUUUGGCCUCAUCUGCCGGAAGGAGUUUGCGUUUCUGAAUGCCUGCAGAACACAGGUCCCCUCCUCUUGGAAUGUGACAUGAGCAAGAAAUAAACUUAAUUUGUGUGAAGGCCUGAGACUUGGGGCGGUUGAUACAGCAGUUAGCCUGCCCUGAUGCACAUGCCAAGUUCCAGCCUCUCAAACUUCUUUCUACAAGCCUGGACACGCCAGCCCUCUCUCUCACUGGUUCCCCAUGGAAAACAUCUUUGACCUGUCUGCGUGUAGACCACACCUGGAGCAUUUGCAUCCACGUCCCGUAUUCUGACCCUCAACCUCCAACCUUGGUUCAUGUUUCAACUUUUAAAUCGACUUCCUGCCUGUUGGUAAAAACGUACUGGUUGGAAGUGAACUGAAACUCUCAGAGAUGGUACCCGAUUUUCUCUUAACUGAGUCUUCAGGCCAUAUGCUCUGUGUGUCCAUGGGGCACGUUGAGGGUAUCUGAAUUAAUGACAAGAAACAGGCAGCUUUGUGGUAAACAGAGGCUGACAGACCUACGGACUGAGAAACGGAGUUGAUUUAUUAUAUUUGACUUUCUGAGAUUCGGGGCUGCCAGAUUUCAAUACAUAGUGGCUCCUUCCAGCUGUAACAUUCUAUGAUGCCAUGAAGACCAGACCCGCUUGGAAAACAACCCACAAGGACACUUUCCCACAGUAUGGGCUUGUGAGACAAGCAACGUGAUCAAGGCUCACACAGUAGUUGCUAUGGCUCACAAUUUAAUAAACAGUUAUUACAAAACCAAGCAGAAUCGAGUGCCUUUGACACGGGCGUGAAGGCAGAGCGGGUACCCACCCCAGCUGGUAGACACGGAAGAUUCCUUCUUUGUUAGAGAUACUAUGGGAAUAGUGCUGACCGAUGUUUUCCUACCUGUUACGGGGUCUUCGACUUUAAUCUGCAAGUAUGCAGCAGUUUCUGAACAAUCUGGUUUGGCUAGUAGAACUUGGACUUGGUUCUGAAGUACAAACAUUGCUGCGUUGACACCUCUUGGCCACCAGAGAGCUCUAUGCAUCCAGCCAGAGGCACCUACUGGAUCAGCAAGCACGCGUUCAUAAAAAGCAGGCUUGCCCUGCAGUCCCUGCGGCAUGGAGGACAGGUUCUAUUGUGAUUUCUGAUACGUGCAAAAUGUACUCAUCUGCCCCAUCACCAGCACCUCUGGCUUUGCCCCUCUGCCUUUUGCAACAUGGCACUUGGUGCAUUUAGGAGGCAGAGGUGGUCAACGUGGGUACCAGUUCUCCACACCGGUCGAAUGAAUUCCUAGCUGUGGGGCAAGAGAAGCCGGGGCCUUCAGACUUACUGGUUUUAUUGGUGGCUGCCAGCACUGAGGGCCAUGUGUAACGCAGCACUCAGGACAACGUCUUGUUGUGGGCUUUCUGUGGUGGUAGCUUUCU